rnacentral:rRNA from 1 species
CAAUACAGGGUGUGGGCGCGUGGCGAACGGGUGCGUAACACGUGGAUAACCUUCCUUGAGGUGGGGAAUAACCCAGUGAAAAUUGGGCUAAUACCGCAUAACAUCGCGAUGGCACAUGCUGAUGCGAUCAAAGGCGCAAGUCGCCACAAGAGGGAUCCGCGGCCGAUUAGCUUGUUGGCGAGGUAAUGGCUCACCAAGGCAAUGAUCGGUAGCCGGACUGAGAGGUUGGCCGGCCACACUGGAACUGAGACACGGUCCAGACUCCUACGGGAGGCAGCAGUGGGGAAUCUUGCACAAUGGACGAAAGUCUGAUGCAGCAACGCCGCGUGGGGGAUGAAGCUUCUCGGAGUGUAAACCCCUUUCGACCCGGAAGAAUGCCCGCAAGGGUAUGACGGUACGGGUAUAAGAAGCCCCGGCUAACUACGUGCCAGCAGCCGCGGUAAUACGUAGGGGGCCAGCGUUGCUCGGAAUUACUGGGCGUGAAGGGUCCGUAGGCGGUGUAGCAAGUCGAUAGUGAAAUCUCUGGGCUUAACCCAGAGGCUGCUAACGAAACUGCUGUGCUAGAGUGUGAGAGAGGCGAGUGGAAUUACGGGUGUAGCGGUGAAAUGCGUAGAUAUCCGUAGGAACAUCCGAGGCGAAGGCGGCUCGCUGGAUCACAACUGACGCUGAGGGACGAAAGCUAGGGGAGCAAACAGGAUUAGAUACCCUGGUAGUCCUAGCCCUAAACCAUCAGGACUUGGGGUUUGCCCUGUACGGGGCAAGUCCCGUAGCUAACGCGUUAAGUCCUGCGCCUGGGGAGUACGGUCGCAAGGCUG